CGGGGUGCAGCAGGCGCGAAAACUCCACACUGUACGACAGUACGAUGGGGUUAUCUCGAGUGCAGUCCGAUAAGGGCUGCUUUUCCAUAGAGUAAUAUCCUGUGGGAAUAAGAGGGGGGCAAGACUGGUGUCAGUCGCCGCGGUAACACCAGCCCCUCGAGUGGUGGGGACUAUUAUUUGGUCUAAAGCGUCCGUAGCUGGCUGUAUCCGUCCCCCGUUAAAUCCAGCGUCCUAAACGUUGGACUGCGGGUGAUACCAUACAGCUAGAGGGUGGGAUAGGUGAGCGGUAUUUCUGGGGUAGGGGCGAAAUCCUUUGAUCCCAGGAGGACCACCAGUGGCGAAGGCUGCUCACUAGAACACGCCUGACGGUCAGGGACGAAAGCUGGGGCAGCGAACCGGAUUAGAUACCCGGGUAGUCCCAGCUGUAAACGAUGCUAGCUAGGUGUUGGGUCGGCCACGCGCCGCCCCAGUGCCGCAGGGAAGCCGUUAAGCUAGCCACCUGGGGAGUACGGCCGCAAGGCUGAAACUUAAAGGAAUUGGCGGGGGAGCAC
rnacentral:rRNA from 1 species